rnacentral:lncRNA from 1 species
ACCCGAUUAAAACUUCAAUUUUCUUGUCCAUAAAUUUCAGACCCUCUUCCUAAUUCCGUACAGAUCCAUAAAAACAAACCCAUUAAAAACGUAAAAUAACCCAAGAAAAUACCUCACAGAUAGCGGCCCAAAUGCCUAUUUUCUUGUUCAAUACGAUCCAUUUGUGCUAGAACUCUCUCUUGAAUCUCCAUUUUCCUCUUCUGAAUAUCCUCUUCCUUAGCCAUAAAAGUUGAUAGAGGGGUCACAAAAACAUCAUUCUAACAAACGAAUCUUUUGACAGUCGAGCAAUGGGGUUAGAUUUCGAUUCGUCGACUCCACUUCCAACCCACCAAUCGAAGCUCGAAGAAAAAAAGAGGAAGAGUCUAGAAACUGUUCUUUAAUGGAAAGAGAGGGAUAGGGAUAGAUUUGCUUUCUAUGGAAGAGGGGAAAAUAUGGUCGAUUGGUAGGGUUUGAGAUAGAUACAAGUGACUAUGCUGAUGUUUAGGCGAAUAGAAAAGGAAGGAUAUAUACUUUAAAGUUUCAGUAUAAGGGUUCAACCAACGUUGCCUUUUCGCAACAUUCAGGUGAGCGUUGUGAAAAUGGA